ACGGAAGUAGAUCUUUGUUCCCGCUUAUUUGACCCUAGAGGUAACCAAUCCGAGAAGAAAGUGCGAGGCACCAAUGAGAACUCGAGAGUGGCGGAGUGGGCGGGCCUGUGAGGUGCCGGAGCGGUUGGCCUGCUGGCCUCGCUGCUUGGCGAUUGGCUGCCCGAGGCCCGGCUCUGCCAUUUCAGGGCUCUCGGUGUAAUCUCAGGGCCUGCCUGCAACUUCUGGGGCUGGCCCGCACUGGAGCCACAUCCUUGCAGGGCGUAGUGGUACACACCGGUCGUCUCAGAACUCGGGACACUUGGGUAUGAACUCCUUCCUUUGGACUGAAAUGGCUGCAACCCAACUUCCAGUGGGAAAACCUGUAAAGGCAUCCUGCAGCCUGCCUCCCAUCUGUAGGGAUGGUACCUGGUCCGGUCUGAGGCUGCACUGCUGCUGCUGCUGCUGCUGGACUCAGAGUCUGAGCUGCUUCGGGGAAGGUUGCAGUCAUUACGGUACACCAAGAAACUCUUCUUCACUGGCUGGUUCCCACUGCUGAAGCCAUUGGCUGGCUCAACUACGAGAAUGGGCAGCUCUCGUCCAUCUAUCGACAGCGAGUCAGCCAAGUUACACAUUCAAUUCCAGCUCACUUCUAUUUCCUACCUGCUGCUGUGCCUUUAAACACAAAACCAAUUAUAGGUACAAACAAGCUCAACACUUUCCAAGCCGGGUCCCUGGUGAACGCUGCCGUUCUGGCUUUGCUGCCCUGGUUCCCGAACUAGCACAGUGCCCCAAGGGACCUGGCGUCAGAGGCACGAAGGUGUCCAGAACUUAGCUCUGAAAGCCCUGGGGCCCUUGGGUAUGGCGGAAGCACCUACUCCCGGG